rnacentral:rRNA from 1 species
UACGUAGGGUCCGAGCGUUGUCCGGAUUUAUUGGGCGUAAAGAGCUCGUAGGCGGUCUGUCGCGUCUGCUGUGAAAAUCCAGGGCUCAACCCUGGACCUGCAGUGGGUACGGGCAGACUAGAGUGCGGUAGGGGAGAUCGGAAUUCCUGGUGUAGCGGUGAAAUGCGCAGAUAUCAGGAGGAACACCAGUGGCGAAGGCGGAUCUCUGGGCCGUAACUGACGCUGAGGAGCGAAAGCAUGGGGAGCGAACAGG